rnacentral:rRNA from 1 species
AAUAGAUACCCCGGUAGUCCAUGCCGUAAACGUUGGGAACUAGAUGUAGGGCCUGUUCCACGGGUUCUGUGUCGUAGCUAACGCAUUAAGUUCCCCGCCUGGGGAGUACGGCCGCAAGGCUAAAACUCAAAGGAAUUGACGGGGACCCGCACAAGCGGCGGAGCAUGCGGAUUAAUUCGAUGCAACGCGAAGAACCUUACCAAGGCUUGACAUAUACGAGAACGCUGCAGAAAUGUAGAACUCUUUGGACACUCGUAAACAGGUGGUGCAUGGUUGUCGUCAGCUCGUGUCGUGAGAUGUUGGGUUAAGUCCCGCAACGAGCGCAACCCUCGUUCUAUGUUGCCAGCACGUAAUGGUGGGAACUCAUGGGAUACUGCCGGGGUCAACUCGGAGGAAGGUGGGGAUGACGUCAAAUCAUCAUGCCCCUUAUGUCUUGGGCUUCACGCAUGCUACAAUGGCCGGUACAAAGGGCUGCAAUACCGUAAGGUGGAGCGAAUCCCAAAAAGCCGGUCCAGUUCGGAUUGAGGUCUGCAACUCGACCU